rnacentral:rRNA from 1 species
CGGACGGGUGGGUAAUGUCUGGGAAACUGCCCGAUGGAGGGGGAUAACUACUGGAAACGGUAGCUAAUACCGCAUAACGUCGCAAGACCAAAGAGGGGGACCUUCGGGCCUCUUGCCAUCGGAUGUGCCCAGAUGGGAUUAGCUAGUAGGUGGGGUAAUGGCUCACCUAGGCGACGAUCCCUAGCUGGUCUGAGAGGAUGAUCAGCCACACUGGGACUGAGACACGGUCCAG